rnacentral:rRNA from 1 species
CACGUAGGGUGCAAGCGUUGUCCGGAAUUAUUGGGCGUAAAGAGCUUGUAGGCGGUUUGUCGCGUCUGCUGUGAAAUUUCGGGGCUCAACCCCGAACUUGCAGUGGGUACGGGCAGACUAGAGUGUGGUAGGGGAGACUGGAAUUCCUGGUGUAGCGGUGAAAUGCGCAGAUAUCAGGAGGAACACCGAUGGCGAAGGCAGGUCUCUGGGCCAUAACUGACGUGAGGAGCGAAAGCUGGGGGAGCAACAG